rnacentral:lncRNA from 1 species
AAUUAUUGAGUACAAAGCAAUUUAUACCGGUCCCUGAGGUAAGUGCUUCGCAAGCAUCAACUCAAAUUACAAACUAUGUGUUCAGAGAACUGAUAACCCUUGAGCAGAGUGUGGAUGUUGCUUUGAAAAUCCCUCGGAAGUUAUGUCAGCCAAAAGCUGGCAGGAAGCAAACGGUCCUGUCCGUGGGGUGAACUAGAGGAGACUUUGACGAUGACGUAACCACUUAGGAAGAUCUAUGUCAUGUCUAAAAGAAAGUAAACGGAAGAUGACGAAACGCUGCAGGACGAGCAACCACCGCCAAGGAGCCUGCAGGGACAAAGAGUGUCCUCAAGUCAUCAAGUAACUGUACUUUAUUGGAUCUGAAUAAAUGUGCCAUGUGUUUUUUGGCAAAAUUGUAUCCUAGCCAGAUAUAUAACCCCAUGUUCAUAACCCCAGCCCUUAAGAAGUGGAGACAGGAAGACAGCAAGCUUGUCGUUAGCUUCAGCCACAUAGAGAAACCCUAUCUUAAACUCCCCAGAACACUAACAAGAACACUAAAAGGAGCAAUGGACUCAGAAGGACACGUCUUGUGUGUUCUCUCUUAAUCUGAGUGUGGGAUGUGUGGAAGUAGGAAGAAGCUGGGAGUGCCAGGGACAGGCCAGAAGGUGAUGGAGGUUGUUAUGCUCAUAGUAUUUGCCUGCCUGAGAGAACUCCAGCCCUAUUAUUUUGUAUACUUAAUAUCCAAUAAUAAAAUGUUUCUAAAUGACAUCAUUAUAAG